CAGCCACUGAAGCAGGUCAUAACCAGGAGCAUGGAGUUGGGAGGAGAUAAGGCCGGGGCGUUUGGCGGUGAUGUUUGAGUCUUGGUCCUCACACGAUCCCUCCUUGGUAUGACCUACAAGUCAGAUUUAAACAGAAGGUUUGUGGGUUGUGGAGAGGAGCUUCUGAUCACUAAAGGUCCUGUGCUGCCUGAAGGGGAGCGCUCCCUCCACUCCCAGGUCUUACCCAGGGUGAUGCAGGCCUGGAGGGCAUCAUCCUGUGCUGCAGCUGAGGCUGUGGCGCUCUGACUGUCGAGGAGCCCUGGGAUGUG